GAGACACGUUGGACCCUUGUGGAUAUAAAUAUCCUUCCCCUACCCGUCAAAUGUGUGACAGUCACAGACCGUAACCUCAUUUCUGAGUUCUCACUUGCCCCUAACUGAACUGAGCGACAGCAAUGGCGAUUGAAAGCUUUCAGGCGUCUCUCCCCCCUGCUUUGGAUUCUACUUCUAACCCUCCUUCCCUUUUCGAUGGAACGACCAGGUUGUACAUAUCUUACACAUGCCCAUUUGCGCAGCGUGCUUGGAUUACCAGGAAUUGUAAGGGGCUGCAGGAAAAGAUUAAGUUGGUUCCAAUUGAUUUGCAAAAUAGGCCUGCUUGGUACAAGGAGAAGGUCUAUCCUGCGAAUAAGGUACCAUCACUGGAACACAAUAAUGAAGUUAGAGGCGAGAGUCUUGAUCUGAUAAAAUAUAUUGAUAGCCACUUUGAAGGGCCGCCACUUUUCCCUGAUGAUGCAACAAAGAGAGAAUUUGCAGAAGAGUUAUUGUCGUACACUGACACAUUCAACAAAACUGUGUUUACUUCGUUCAAGGGAGAUGCAGAUAAUGAAGCUGGUGCUGCUUUUGAUCACAUAGAGAAAGCACUUUCAAAAUUUGAUGAUGGGCCUUUCUUCCUUGGCCAAUUUAGUCUGGUAGAUAUAGCCUAUGCUCCAUUUAUUGAGAGGUUUAAGCCAUUCUUUCUGGAAGUAAAGAAUUAUGAUAUUACAGCAGGAAGGCCUAAACUGGCAGCCUGGAUUGAGGGCAGAUUCUGCUUGAGCUAGGGAUCCCUCUUGUUUCUUUAGGUCUGUCCAAAGAAGGUAGUGGGAAAUGGACAACAUUGAGGCUUACAAACAAACCCGACGUGAUCCCAAGGAGCUUGUGGAAAGUUAUAAGAAACGAUUCUUGGCACAGCUCUGAAUGUUAUGGUGGUUUCUUCAACCCAUUAAUAAAAUAUCCGACUUCAUGCUCCCUAAAUGCUUUUAGUGCUUCUAUGAAGUGUGGUAGAUCAAAAAUAUAGAAUCAAUGCUGUGAAGGACAUAAGAAAAUAAAAUAAGGUUAAAGUCCUUCAUGGAGAAAGGAACGGUAUUUACAACAAAUUGAUUCUUUAGAUGUGUAAUGGCUUGUUUCAACCUUAACUUUUAUUACCCCAAAAUUGGCUGCUGUUGUCAA